CCUACGGGUGGCAGCAGUGAGGAAUAUUGGUCAAUGAACGCAAGUCUGAACCAGCCAUGCCGCGUGCAGGAAGACGGCUCUAUGAGUUGUAAACUGCUUUUGUACGAGGGUACACGCAGAUACGCGUAUCUGUCUGAACGUAUCGUACGAAUAAGGAUCGGCUAACUCCGUGCCAGCAGCCGCGGUACUACGGAGGAUACAAGAGUUAUCCGGAUUUAUUGGGUUUAAAGGGUGCGUAGGCGGGCGGAUAAGUUAGAGGUGAAAUCCCGAGGCUCAACUUCGGGAUUGCUUCUGAUACUUUCAGGCUAGAGAGUAGUUGCGGUAGGCGGAAUGUAUGGUGUAGCGGUGAAAUGCUUAGAGAUCAUACAGAACACCGAUUGCGAAGGCAGCUUACCAAGCUACUUCUGACGUUGAGGCACGAAAGCGUGGGGAGCAAACAGGAUUAGAUACCCCAGUAGUC
rnacentral:rRNA from 1 species